GAUGAACGCUGGCGGCGUGCCUAAUACAUGCAAGUCGAGCGAACGGACGAGAAGCUUGCUUUUCUGAUGUUAGCGGCGGACGGGUGAGUAACACGUGGAUAACCUACCUAUAAGACUGGGAUAACUUCGGGAAACCGGAGCUAAUACCGGAUAAUAUUUUGAACCGCAUGGUUCAAAAGUGAAAGACGGUCUUGCUGUCACUUAUAGAUGGAUCCGCGCUGCAUUAGCUAGUUGGUAAGGUAACGGCUUACCAAGGCAACGAUGCAUAGCCGACCUGAGAGGGUGAUCGGACACACUGGAACUGAGAAACGGUCCAGACUCCUACGGGAGGCAGCAGUAGGGAAUCUUCCGCAAUGGGCGAAAGCCUGACGGAGCAACGCCGCGUGGGUGAUGAAGGUCUUCGGAUCGUAAAACCCUGUUAUUAGGGAAGAACAUAUGUUUAAGUAAAUGUGCACAUCUUGACGGUACCUAAUCAGAAAGCCACGGCUAACUACGUG
rnacentral:rRNA from 1 species